AUGGCAUUGGUGCCUCUGUAUCCCUUUUAUCCCCUGCUCUCUCUGCCUCCCCUGUUUCCAUAUUCCCUCUCAGGCUACCGCAAUCCAAGACUUUUAUCUGACCUUUUUUCUGCCUCUUUUUCAUAUCUAGACAGGAGGUGAUUUCAGCAAAACUGACAAUUGAUCCAGUUGAAAACUCAACGAACUAUUACGACGUAACAGUCACCGUUAAAAGUUACGUGGCCAAAUGCUUAGUGGUUAGAGUCACGCUCGAGGCCUUCAGCAACAUCAUUUUUCCUUAUGGUACUUUUAUUUACACAGCCUGUUUGUGUGAUUUCAGUACAAGAAACUUCUUUUGGGAAAUACAAGCAUCAGAAAAUGGGAUCAUAAAAGGGAAAGCUGAAGUUGUGUCAGAAGAGAAUAUAUGCCCUUCUGAUGUGGAAAUCUGCUCCCUCGUUUACAAAGUCUGUAUCAAGCGUGAAAUCAUCAUAAGAUGCUGAUCUCAAAAGUCUGCUGAGUUUGUGGGCAUCUGUGUAGACAAGAAAAUAAAUUUCCUAUGGGCUUCUCACUGUCCUGCCUGUGUUCUCU
ensembl:lncRNA